CAGCCGCCGCGGGAAUACGAAGGGGGCUAGCGUUGCUCGGAAUUACUGGGCGUAAAGGGCGCGUAGGCGGCGCUCCAAGUUAGGCGUGAAACUCCCGGGCUCAACCUGGGGACUGCGCUUAAGACUGGAGUGCUUGAGGAUGGAAGAGGGUUGUGGAAUUCCCAGUGUAGAGGUGAAAUUCGUAGAUAUUGGGAAGAACACCGGUGGCGAAGGCGGCAACCUGGUCCAUUACUGACGCUGAGGCGCGAUAGCGUGGGGCAAACAGGAUUAGAUACCCCGGUAGUCCCUGUCUCUUAUACAC
rnacentral:rRNA from 1 species